rnacentral:lncRNA from 1 species
UUUGAAUUCUUUUACAUUUAUCAAUUUGGGGCAUUUUAUAGCAGACCAUGUUGUAUAGGCUUUGCUCAUUGUUAAAGGUAGUACAGUGACCUCUUAUAGUUUUUAAUUUUCUGUCAUUUGUUCUGUUAUGGAGAGUUGUCUCAUUGGCAAUCAUACCAUGUCUCUUUUUAUAUAAAUGUUUAUAAAAUGAUACCCUUUACAAAAACAAAUGCUUUUCAUGAAACACAGUUGAAAAAUUGUCCUGC